rnacentral:rRNA from 1 species
CCGCGUGCAGGAUGACGGCCCUACGGGUUGUAAACUGCUUUUCUAUGCCAAGAAACCUGAUUACGUGUAAUCAGUUGCCGGUAGCAUAGGAAUAAGCAUCGGCUAACUCCGUGCCAGCAGCCGCGGUAAUACGGAGGAUGCAAGCGUUAUCCGGAUUCAUUGGGUUUAAAGGGUGCGCAGGCGGGCCUGUAAGUCAGUGGUGAAAUCUUGCCGCUUAACGGUAAAAUUGCCAUUGAUACUGCAAGUCUUGAAUAUGGUUGAGGUAGGCGGAAUGUGUUGUGUAGCGGUGAAAUGCAUAGAUAUGACACAGAACACCGAUUGCGAAGGCAGCUUACUAAGCCAUUAUUGACGCUGAGGCACGAAAGCGUGGGGAGCGAACAGGAUUAGAUACCCUGGUAGUCCACGCCGUAAACGAUGAUCCUCGCUGUCUGCGAUAUACAGUAGCGGCUGAGCGAAA